CCUACGGGGUGCAGCAGUGAGGCAUAUUGGUCAAUGGGCGCGAGCCUGAACCAGCCAAGUCGCGUGAGGGAAGACGGUCCUAUGGAUUGUAAACCUCUUUUGUCGGGGAGCAAAAGACGCCACGCGUGGCGUUCCGCGAGUACCCGAAGAAAAAGCAUCGGCUAACUCCGUGCCAUCAGCCGCGGUACUAGGGAGGAUGCGAGCGUUAUCCGGAUUUAUUGGGGUUAAAGGGUGCGCAGGCGGAAGAUCAAGUCAGCGGUAAAAUUGAGAGGCUCAACCUCUUCGAGCCGUUGAAACUGGUUUUCUUGAGUGAGCGAGAAGUAUGCGGAAUGCGUGGUGUAGCGGUGAAAUGCAUAGAUAUCACGCAGAACUCCGAUUGCGAAGGCAGCAUACCGGCGCUCAACUGACGCUCAUGCACGAAAGUGUGGGUAUCGAACAGGAUUAGAUACCCGGGUAGUC
rnacentral:rRNA from 1 species